rnacentral:rRNA from 1 species
CCUACGGGAGGCUGCAGUGGGGAAUAUUGCACAAUGGGGGAAACCCUAAUGCAGCGACGCCGCGUGAGCGAGGAAGUAUUUCGGUAUGUAAAGCUCUAUCAGCAGGGACGAAAAAAGACGGUACCUGACUAAGAAGCCCCGGCUAACUACGUGCCAGCAGCCGCGGUAAUACGUAGGGGGCAAGCGUUAUCCGGAUUUACUGGGUGUAAAGGGAGCGUAGACGGCAAGGCAAGCCAGAAGUGAAAGGGCAGGGCUCAACCCUGUACAUGCUUUUGGAACUGUGGUGCUGGAGUGCAGGAGAGGUAAGUGGAAUUCCUAGUGUAGCGGUGAAAUGCGUAGAUAUUAGGAGGAACACCAGUGGCGAAGGCGGCUUACUGGACUGUAACUGACGUUGAGGCUCGAAAGCGUGGGGAGCAAACAGGAUUAGAUACCCCAGUAGUC